rnacentral:rRNA from 1 species
UACGAAGGGGGCUAGCGUUGUUCGGAUUUACUGGGCGUAAAGCGCACGUAGGCGGAUCGAUCAGUCAGGGGUGAAAUCCCAGAGCCCAACUCUGGAACUGCCUUUGAUACUGUCGAUCUGGAGUAUGGAAGAGGUGAGUGGAAUUCCGAGUGUAGAGGUGAAAUUCGUAGAUAUUCGGAGGAACACCAGUGGCGAAGGCGGCUCACUGGUCCAUUACUGACGCUGAGGUGCGAAAGCGUGGGGAGCAAACAGG